AGUGAACGCUGGCGGUAGGCCUAACACAUGCAAGUCGAACGGCAGCACAGUAAGAGCUUGCUCUUACGGGUGGCGAGUGGCGGACGGGUGAGGAAUACAUCGGAAUCUACUUUUUCGUGGGGGAUAACGUAGGGAAACUUACGCUAAUACCGCAUACGACCUACGGGUGAAAGCAGGGGAUCUUCGGACCUUGCGCGAUUGAAUGAGCCGAUGUCGGAUUAGCUAGUUGGCGGGGUAAAGGCCCACCAAGGCGACGAUCCGUAGCUGGUCUGAGAGGAUGAUCCGCACCCCUGAACCUGAGACCCGGUCCCGACUCCUACGGAGGGCCGCAGUGGGGAAUAUCGGCCAAUGGCCCCAACCUUGACCCCGCCACCCCGCGUGGGUGACGAAGCCCUUCGGGUUGUAAGCCCCUUUUGUUGGGAAAGAAACCCAGCAGAUUAAUCCCCCGCUUUCCUGCCGGUCCCAAAGAAUAAGCACCGGCUAACUUCGUG
rnacentral:rRNA from 1 species